CACACAACUGUAUGUCCGCGGAGUGGAUGACAGUUUUGACGUGAUGGAGGAGUUGCUCACAGUGAUUCCAAUGCAUGGCCAGACCACUGCUCAGGAGAUAUUCAGCCAGCUGUGUGAUGCCAUUGUGGAUGCCGGUUUAACAUGGAAGAGGUUUGCUGGAAUAACAACCGACGGAGCACCAUCAAUGACAGGGAGGAAAAAUGGACUGGUGGCACUUGUUCAAAGAAAACUGGAAGAGGAGGGUGUGGAGGAGGCCAUUGCUCUGCACUGCAUUAUCCAUCAGCAGGCCCUUUGCAGCAAAUGCCUGAAGUUUGACAAUGUGAUGUCUGUUGUUGUGAAAUGCAUCAACCAUAUUAGAUUCAGGGGCUUAAAGCACCGGCAGUUCCGCGCCUUUUUGGAGGAAAUAGAGUCAGCAUAUGAGGAUGUCCUCUACUUCACCGAGGUACGUUGGCUCAGCAGGGGAAACGCCUUGAAGAGGUUCUUUGAGUUGAGAGCAGAAGUGAAAGCCUUCAUGGAGAAGGAUGGGAUGGCUGUUCCUGUGCUAAGUGAUCCCAAAUGGCUCAUGGACUUAGCUUUUCUUGUUGAUAUCACACAGGAGCUGAAUGUACUGAACAAGAAGUUACAAGGCCAAGGGCAGCUUGUCAGUGCUGCCUAUGACAACGUCAGAGCAUUCUCCACACAACUUGUGUUAUGGAAAGCCCAGCUCUCUCAGACAAACUUCUGCCAUUUCCCAACAUGCAAGGCACUCAUGGGUGCAGGCACACCAUUCAGUGGUGAGAAGUAUGCUGAUGCCAUUGUAAACCUACAGGAGGAAUUUGAUCAGAGGUUUGCAGACUUCAAGACACACAGAGCCACUUUUCAAAUUGUUGCUGACCCCUUCUCCUUUGAUGUGCAAGAUGCCCCUCCUGUGCUUCAAAUGGAGCUCAUUGACCUGCAGUGCAAUUCUGAACUCAAAGCCAAGUUCAGGGAGGUGAGUGGAAUAGCAGACAAGCUUGGACAAUUUUUGAGAGAAUUGCCCCCCCACCUUCCCAGGAUGUUCAAGCGGACCAUGUGCCUUUUUGGGAGCACAUAUCUGUGUGAAAAGCUCUUCUCAACCAUGAACUUUAAUAAGUCAAAGUACAGGUCCAAACUUACUGAUGAGCAUCUUCAAGCCAUACUGAGGGUCUCAACUGCUUCCUUCCUCAAGCCAAAUGUGGCUGAGCUGUGUGAGAGGAAGCGCUGCCAGGUCUCUGGUAGCAAGGAGUAAGCAAGAGAAGCCUAUGUUCUGAAGAACCGUUCAUGUUCUGAACUGUUAUUAAUGAAGAUUGGAUCAGUUGUACUUUUUUUUGGAAUACUUGAUACCCAGACUCUACCCCCAGCGGCCCCCAGGUAAGUUGAGUUUGAGACCCUAGCUUUGUUACUUGGAUGGAUGUUAAAUUGAAUGUUUCUGGCAUGAUUAUGGGAAAGCUCCACUUAGUGAGAUUUGAGACGGAUGGAUAUAAUAUUGAUAUACUUAAUGCUUUGGGGGAUUUUGACUUGAAUUUUUCUUGCUAAUCAUUGCUCCAUAAUACAAUAGCUAUACCUCAAGUGGACAUCAAGACAAUAGCAUAUAUUCGCCCCAUGAGAAAGUGGCUUAAUCUGGUGCUAAAUAGUAAAAACUACAAUUCUGAAGCCAGGGCUCUAGAUAGAUAUAUUAGAAUGCAUAAUUCUAUGCUGUAAUGGCCGUGAGAUCAAAAGAUGUGGUUUUAAUUGGUUUUAUUGGCCUAAAUUGUUGCUCUCAAGGGUCUGAAUGUCCGUGUUUUGGCUACGCAGUUUAUUAUAGACUUAUAGGAGCUGAGGUUGAACUUCCAAAUUCAAUUAAAAAAAACGGCAGAGAGCUUAAGUAAAAGAGCAGGUGAAGCAAGUCACAGAUCUUUUUCUCAGGAGUUGGUUAUCACCAACCCAAAGCUACAAGGAAAGUCAAUAUGGGACUUGAAUUCAAUGUGUCAAAAUAUCCCAAUAGAAUGCUCAGGCUGUGUUCUGCUGGAUGUGAAAGGAGGUCAUUCAAUAGUUCACUAAUUGAUAAUUUUUUAAUGGAAAUUCUUGGACAUUUUUUGUUAACAGCUGGUCCUUGAUAUCAGACAGAUGUAGACAAAGGCAGGCUGAAAUGACAGCAGUUGGAUCUGAUGAGCUGUAGCUAUAGCAUGCUAACGAAUAUCAACUCUUUAUAUCGUUUCCUGCUGGCUCGUUUGAAAACCAGAAACCUAUUGUAUAAACGUUUGUAAGUAUGCAUUUUAUAGCUACAUACAUCACAUUCUCCUAAUUGAGUGCUACGUGAUAACACUAAAAAAACAUCUCGUGCUAAAUUAUACAGGCCCCAAGCCUAAUAUAAAUACUUUUUUAAAUAUUAUUAUUUGUAUUAUUAAACUGAUGACAGGGGCUACCAUGCAGGAUUCAUCAGGAGUCUAACUACACAGUUAUCUAUACACUUAACCCCAAGUUGCUCCCGCAGGCACAGCCUACCCAAGGACACAUCAACAUGGACUAACGAAGCCGGGGAUGGAGCCGCCUACCCUCUGAUUAAAGGACUACCCUGCUCUACCACUGAGUCACGGUCGCCCAUAGUCAGUGUGGACGAGUCUUUCUUCCCUCUUGAUGUCAAAUAGUCCUUAAUGCUGGUUGAAACUAUCACACACGCACACGCCUGGCUAUUUGAAGUUCAUAACAUUAUGAAACAAAUUCACAUUUCUGAGAUGAGAGCAGCUACCCAAAACUACGGACAUUUUAAAACCAGAGAGAGAAGUGAACAGGUCAGGGUUAGUAGACAUCUUUAUUAAAUCUCCACAAACACUGUCAGGACCACAACAUCGAGCAGGAUAUUCACUGAGACUGGUGAUAUAAAUGAGAGCUGGGCUGUUCAACAUGUGUCUAGAAAGAGUCGCAAAAGUAAAGAUUACGUCCACCAGCUCCCCCUACCCCAGCUCAGCAGGGGCCUCGCCUCACAACCAUCAAUCCCAGAGCCACCGAGGAGGAAGCAGCGUUUGAAGCUGGGGAAACACGUCUCAGUCUCUUGGACCAUCAGCACCGAUUCCCCUCAAUGCUGCGUUCUUUCCCCUCUACUCUUCUCUUUGUACACCAACAGCUGCACCCCUACUCACCGGUCCGUUACACUCCUGAAGUUUGUGGAUGACACCGCCCUAAUUGGACUCAUCUCUGGUGGGGAUGAGUCCGUCUAUAGGCUGGAAUGAUGCUUGAUAAUGGAGUAAAGACCACCCAGGCAAACGACAAGGACAAGAGACCCUUCCUGUCUCUGAUUGGAGCCAGGUAUGGCCCCCACCAGGACGCUGAUCCCUUCAAACCCAGAGUCCCUGCUCUAAUCCACCAUUUUGUAGCCUAUAAGAACCAGGACCACGGAGCCUGGCUGAGAGGAGGGGAUGUCUGGCUGGAUGACUGCCAAUUUGCUGAUAAUGGCAUUGGCCUCACUCUGGCGAGUGGAGGGACCUUUCCAGAUGAUGACGGCUCUCGUCAGCAGGUGAAAAACUCGCUGUUUGUGGGUGAAAGUGACAAUCGUGGGAUGCCCCUCCUUGACAACAAGAUCUGGGGCCCCGGGGGUUCUGACCUCACUGACAGAACCCUGCCACGUGGCAUGUAAGGGACAAUUACAGCUUAUUUGAACUUCUUUUGGUUUCACAGACGCAUUAAGGUGAUAAAUGGUCAGAUGUUGUAUUUUGACUUUGCUGUCCGAGGACCCAAAAGGUUUACAUUUAACCAUUGAUUUUUAACAUGUCACAUGAACACUAGUAUUCUGGUUAUGAUCAGGAUUUGGAAUGUCCUGAUAAUGUGUUUGUCGAUUUAGACAUCACAUCCUGGUUUAAGAGACCUGGCCCUUGUCCUGGUCUAUGGACCUAGAGAAGCCUUUUACAAUAGUCCCACAGAAACCUGGAUACCAUCGCGUCUAAACACCUCAUCCAUAAUCAUGAUCAUCUUCUUAUCACUCCCAUUCUAAUGCUUGAGAUGGGCCAAACUGAGCCUACUAGUAGGUGUAGAUAGGUAGUUGUAGGUUGAUAACCGCUGGCAGCGCCCAUUCAAUUGGCUGAUAAGAUUAGAAGCGGGUGAUAGAUAAGCCUGAUCCGGUGGUGGUACAACGUGUUAAAUACACCAGAGACCAGAAGGGUUCACCAGAAACUGUUGAAGUAACUCAGUUUACUUAGAAGAGUAAAGACAUACCUGCAGAUGAUCAGAAACCUUGCACAGAUUCCCUGCCUUCCAGCUCCAGCUCUUCUCCUCGCACUCAGGCUGCUUCUGUGUGCUCGUGAAACGUCCACUCUCAGAUUUCUCGUAUGCUCUUGGAUUUCUUUUGUGUAACAACCCUGUCAGAAUUCCCCAAUCAAUAGAAUGCCAGGUGUAGUGUUGACCAAUGAAAGAUCCUUGCCUCAUUGUGGGUUUUGAGGGAGAACAUUGCAAAAUCUGAAGCGAAAGAACAUUCUCUUGAUAAAGAUAGGAGAAAAGCUGAAUAGAUCAUUACAGAAUCAUGUACACAGUGAGCUGAAUAGUAAUUCUAGAUGUUCACUGUAAACUUCACAUCCCAAAUAUGAUCAGAACUGGAAUAAGAUUCAUAAUACCAAGAUACCAGGGCACAUGCUGAUAAAACACCGUGUUGCUGUAUUAGUGUUUAAACCUACAGUAGACAGCAAGAGGCCUUUUGUCAUGCAAAUCAUGUGAACGUGUCUCUGCCAUGAAAACGUGUUGCCACCGCCAAUCUUUUAUAACUGACAUGAAUUAAAACUGACCACAGCUGCUGCUCUUCAUGACGGAGCAAAAUGAAAACAUUUGACAGACAUUUUUCCAGUGUUAAUACCCCAAAUAUUGGUUGUACUGUGUGUAUGUAUAUAU